GAUGAACGCUGGCGGUGUGCUUAACACAUGCAAGUCGUACGAGGUUGAUUACCAAAUCAACUGCAGUGGCGGACGGGUGCGUAACGCGUAAGAACUUACCUUUUGGAGGGGGAUAACAAUGGGAAACCGCUGCUAAUACCCCAUAAAGCUGAGGAGCUAAACGGUGAAAAACCGCCAAGAGAGAGGCUUGCGUCUGAUUAGCUAGUUGGAGGAGGUAAAGGCUCCCCAAGGCGACGAUCAGUAGCUGGUCUGAGAGGAUGAUCAGCCACACUGGGACUGAGACACGGCCCAGACUCCUACGGGAGGCAGCAGUGAGGAAUUUUCCGCAAUGGGCGAAAGCCUGACGGAGCAAUACCGCGUGAAGGAAGAAGGUUCGUGGAUCGUAAACUUCUUUUCUCAGAGAAGAAUCAAUGACGGUAUCUGAGGAAUAAGCACCGGCUAACUCUGUGCCAGCAGCCGCCGCCGUAA
rnacentral:rRNA from 1 species